rnacentral:misc_RNA from 1 species
GAUGAAGAACGUAGCGAAAUGCGAUAAGUAAUGCGAAUUGCAGAAUUUCCGUGAGUCAUCGAAUCUUUGAACGCACAUUGCGCCCCCUGGAAUUCCGGGGGGCAUGCCUGUUCGAGCGUCAUUUCACCACUCAAGCCUCGCUUGGUAUUGGGCAACGCGGUCCGCCGCGUGCCUCAAAUCGACCGGCUGGGUCUUCUGUCCCCUAAGCGUUGUGGAAACUUUCGCUAAAGGGUGUUCGGGAGGCUACGCCGUAAAACAACCCCAUUUCUAAGGUUGACCUCGGAUCAGGUAGGGAUACCCGCUGAACUUAAGCAUAUCAAUAAGCGGAGGA